rnacentral:tRNA from 1 species
CGGGGCGUAUGCGCAACCUGGGAGCGGGCCUGCUUUGGGAGCAGGAGGUUGGGAGUUCGAAUCUCCCCGCCCCGACCA